rnacentral:rRNA from 1 species
UAGGACCUGCCCACUGAGGUUUUGAAGGGCCGCGGUAUUUUGACCGUGCAAAGGUAGCAUAAUCAUUAGUCUUUUAAUUGUGGGCUGGUAUGAAUGGUUUGACGAGGCACUAUCUGUCUUGGGUUAAUAUUUUAUUGAAUUUGGGUUUUAGAUAAAAAUAUCUAAAUUUUUUUGUGGGACGAGAAGACCCUAUAGAGUUUUAUAUUAAUUCUUCUUUAUUUGUAUGUUUUUGUUGUUUUUAGUUGAAUUUUUAUUUUGUUGGGGUGACAUGAAGAUUUAUUUAACUCUUCUUUUGGUUUAUGUAUAUAGAUUAAUAGUUUGUUGAUCCUUUAUUAUUGAUUUUAAGAUUAAAUUACCUUAGGGAUAACAGCGUAAUCUUUCUUGAAAGUUCUUAUUGACAGGGGGGUUUGCGACCUCGAUGUUGGAUUAGGGUGAAUUUUUGGUGUAGAGGCUUAAAGAAUUAGGUCUGUUCGACCUUUAAAACCUUACA